GACGAACGCUGGCGGCGUGCUUAACACAUGCAAGUCGAACGGAAAGGCCCUGCUUUUGUGGGGUGCUCGAGUGGCGAACGGGUGAGUAACACGUGAGUAACCUGCCCUUGACUUUGGGAUAACUUCAGGAAACUGGGGCUAAUACCGGAUAGGAGCUCCUGCUGCAUGGUGGGGGUUGGAAAGUUUCGGCGGUGGGGGAUGGACUCGCGGCUUAUCAGCUUGUUGGUGGGGUAGUGGCUUACCAAGGCUUUGACGGGUAGCCGGCCUGAGAGGGUGACCGGCCACAUUGGGACUGAGAUACGGCCCAGACUCCUACGGGAGGCAGCAGUGGGGAAUAUUGCAGAAUGGGCGGAAGCCUGAGGCAGCAACGCCGCGUGCGGGAUGACGGCUUUCGGGUUGUAAACCGCUUUCGCCUGUGACGAAGCGUGAGUGACGGUAAUGGGUAAAGAAGCACCGGCUAACUACGUG
rnacentral:rRNA from 1 species